rnacentral:rRNA from 1 species
UAAUACGGAGGAUCCAAGCGUUAUCCGGAUUCAUUGGGUUUAAAGGGUGCGUAGGCGGAAUGAUAAGUCAGUGGUGAAAGCCUGCAGCUUAACUGCAGAACUGCCAUUGAUACUGUCAAUCUUGAGUACAUUUGAUGUGGGCGGAAUGUGUCAUGUAGCGGUGAAAUGCUUAGAUAUGACACAGAACACCGAUUGCGAAGGCAGCUCACAAAACUGUAACUGACGCUGAGGCACGAAAGCGUGGGUAUCAAACAGGAUUAGAUACCCUGGUAGUCCACGCUGUAAACUAUGAUUACUCGAUGUUUGCGAUACACUGUAAGCGUCUAAGCGAAAGCGAUAAGUAAUCCACCUGGGGAGUACGCUCGCAAGAGUGAAACUCAAAUGAAUUGACGG